GUCAGGAUGGCCGAGCGGUCUAAGGCGCGAGACUCAAGUUCUUGUCCUCGUAAGAGGGCGUGGGUUCAAAUCCCACUUCUGACA
rfam:Eutrema salsugineum unplaced genomic scaffold scaffold_1, whole genome shotgun sequence.